AUGAGCAUGCAAUUUGUGGCACUGAAUAAUUCAGAAAAGCAUGAUGCAUGUGUUCAGAUGGUUAUUGAAAAAGGAUGUCACAUUGUUCCAACGCAGCAUGUAGUGAUACGUAAACAUAGUAGAUGUUAUCUGCAUUCAUUGGUUCAGAUCACAUGGCUCAACAAGAUGGUGCUGCAAAAGCAUGUUAUUUUCGAGAAAUUAGCACCAAAGCCGCAGUGCAAAAAAAACAUCAAAUUGUUAGCAAACCUACCAUCUACCUUGAAGCUAGUUUGCAGGUACUCUAACAACAUAACCAAAAGCGCCCAGUAA
rnacentral:rRNA from 1 species